AUUGAACGCUGGCGGCAGGCUUAACACAUGCAAGUCGAGCGGGGAAAGGUAGCUUGCUACCUGACCUAGCGGCGGACGGGUGAGUAAUGCUUAGGAAUCUGCCUAUUAGUGGGGGACAUCAUUCCGAAAGGAAUGCUAAUACCGCAUACGCCCUACGGGGGAAAGCAGGGGAUCUUCGGACCUUGCGCUUAUAGAUGAGCCUAAGUCAGAUUAGCUAGUUGGUGGGGUAAGGGCCUACCAAGGCGACGAUCUGUAGCGGGUCUGAGAGGAUGAUCCGCCACACUGGGACUGAGACACGGCCCAGACUCCUACGGGAGGCAGCAGUGGGGAAUAUUGGACAAUGGGCGAAAGCCUGAUCCAGCCAUGCCGCGUGUGUGAAGAAGGCCUUUUGGUUGUAAAGCACUUUAAGCGAGGAGGAGGCUACCGAGAUUAAUACUCUUGGAUAGUGGACGUUACUCGCAGAAUAAGCACCGGCUAACUCUGUGCCAGCAGCCGCAGUAAGAC
rnacentral:rRNA from 1 species